rnacentral:lncRNA from 1 species
UGCGUUGCAACUAAAAAAGGAUCGAUUCGUGAAGAAUAAACAAUAUAAAUCACUUAACAAUUAGAUAAUUAAUAAUAAAUUAAUUAAAAUUUGAUAAGAAACAGUUUCUGUCAAAACAUCGAAAUGAUAGGAAGGGCUACCAACUUGAAUUUUAUCCGAUUUAAAAUUAAUUAAUUUUUAAUAAUAAUUAAAUUAUUGAUGGUUUUUACUUUUUUAACUUCCCAACAAAUAAAAAGAUAAAGCAACAAAAUAAAGACGACCAAAACUUGUUCUGAAUAACGAAAAACUUGAUAAAUGCGAUUUAGAGGAUUUAAUUGGACGUGGUAUUAAAUGAAUCGCAUUAAAUGAACGGGUAAAAAGAUACCACAAUUUUGGAUAACUUCGUCGCAAAAUCGAAGUAACACUUCAUUGAGAGGCUAAAUUUGUAUGUGGAGCAAUCAAUGAGAACCCAGAAGAAUAAUUUUUGAGGAUACAUAAAGUGAUUAUUGAGAUAUUAAGAAAAAACCUCUAAAAUUAACUUUUCGAUCCUC